GACGAACGCUGGCGGCGUGCUUAACACAUGCAAGUCGAACGGUGAUGCUCCAGCUUGCUGGAGUGGAUCAGUGGCGAACGGGUGAGUAACACGUGAGCAACCUGCCCCAGACUCUGGAAUAAGCGCUGGAAACGGCGUCUAAUACUGGAUACGAAACUGGCCCGCAUGGGCAUGGUUUGGAAAGUUUUUCGGUUUGGGAUGGGCUCGCGGCCUAUCAGCUUGUUGGUGAGGUAAUGGCUCACCAAGGCGACGACGGGUAGCCGGCCUGAGAGGGCGACCGGCCACACUGGGACUGAGACACGGCCCAGACUACUACGGGAGGCAGCAGUGGGGAAUAUUGCACAAUGGGCGAAAGCCUGAUGCAGCGACGCCGCGUGAGGGAUGACGGCCUUCGGGUUGUAAACCUCUUUCAGCAGGGAAGAAGCGAAAGUGACGGUACCUGCAGAAGAAGCACCGGCUAACUACGUG
rnacentral:rRNA from 1 species